UUGCCCACCUUGGACCCCUGGUGUCCUCGGUGACUAACACAGGGGGGGAGAGAAGCUCUCUCAUAAACCUGUAGUGCAAGGACACUUCUUCACUGCGGAUCCUGUCGGGAGAAACAAUC